rnacentral:lncRNA from 1 species
GUGUACCUGCAAGUCACAAGGUUAAAACCGGAUGGAAAUGGAAAAAAAAUGAUAUCCAUUUAAUUAUGUCAAAUCGAUAGCUAUAUUCUUAGUAUUGAUCCCAAAAUUGGUUAGUUGGCAAAUUAAGCCAAAAGUUUAUGCUUCUUUUAUGAGUUGUUUACCAUAUAAAACACUUUUACGUUUACUUUUACUUGUAGAGACAUUUGCGGCAUGUGACAUACAUUUUCUGGACAGCUGGUGUUUUUUGGACCGUUUUGUCCUCACGCCCU